UUCUCCAAAUUUCACUGAUCUCUCCCCUCUCUCUCGCCAGAACUCGCCGGCGAUAAGUCUGAGUUUAUUUCUAUUGCAGUUUGGUAACUAGGGACACACACAAGAAACAGUGUGUAGCAGCGGCACAAGAAUCGGUGACGAAAAUCACUUGGGGUUUGCUGAUACAGGUCGGCCGUUGAGGGUGGUUGAUGGUUCACCGGUGACUUUUUCUUUUCUUGGUUUUCUGUGUUUUAUAGAUGGUGGUUUCAAAAAAUUGGAUCAGAUUUGAUAUGGGUUUCUGGCGUGGUGAGUGAGAGAGUGCCGAAGUUGGAGAAAGAAAGACCGUAUUGAGAGACGUACGUGGGACUUUUUUUUGGCCUUUGGAUUGGUUUUUUUGGCCACGUGUCACUCAUCUAUAUUAAAAGAGGGUUUUAAACUUGGACGAACUCAAAAACCCUACUCGCAUAAACCCUUCUCAGCCAAAAGCAUUUCUCAGUGGCAGUUGAUUUAGAGCUACAUGUAUGUUCAGAUUGCUGCCGACCUGCAUAGGUAGGCAUAUUUCCAAAUCUUUGCCAUCACUUCAAGCCCAUUGCUCAUUGUUUUCAGCUGCUAUCUCUUCUCGGCAAUUCACUUCAGAUGGCUUCGACAAUGGGAACAAAGACAUUGAUUUUAAUAUUUUAUUCUCAUCUUGCACAAAGGUGCACCUUGCCAAGUGCCUUCAUGCCUUUCUUUUGGUCUCAGGGAAAGGUCAAAACAUCUUUCUUUCAGCCAGGCUUGUCAAUCUUUAUGCCUAUCUCAGUGAUGUCUCAUUUGCACAACGCACAUUUGAUCAGAUUCCGAAAAAGGAUGUUUAUACCUGGAAUUCAAUGGUAUCAGCUUAUGUUCGCAGUGGCCGUUUCCGUGAUGCUAUAAAUUGUUUCUAUCUGUUCUUGUUGACCUCUGGCAUUAGACCUGAUUCAUACUCUUUUCCGUCUGUGUUAAAAGCCUGUGGAAAUCUAGUUGAUGGGAAGAAGAUGCAUUGCUGGGUUCUAAAGCUGGGUUUUGAGUGGGAUGUCUUCGUGGCUGCUUCUUUGGUCCAUAUGUAUUCCCGGUUUGGCUUCUUAAGUGCUGCGCGUAAAUUGUUCAAUAAUAUGCCAGUUCGAGAUAUGGGUUCUUGGAAUGCAAUGAUUUCUGGGUAUUGUCAGAAUGGAAAUGCUGCGGAGGCAUUGGAGGUCUUAGAUGAGAUGAGACUGGAGGGGGUAAAAAUGGAUCCUGUAACUGUCUCAAGUCUACUUGCUGUUUGCUCACAAUCAGAUGAUAGCUUAAGUGGGAUGCUCAUUCAUUUGUAUGUCAUAAAGCAUGGACUGGAAUGUGAUUUGUUUGUGUCCAAUGCCUUGAUUAACAUGUACGCCAAAUUUGGUAGUUUGGGGCAUGCACAAAGAGUUUUUGAUCAGAUGGAAGUAAGAGAUGUGGUUUCAUGGAAUUCAAUAAUUGCCGCAUAUGAGCAGAAUGAUAAUCCAAUUACUGCCCUUGGGCUCUUUAACAAGAUGCAACUAAUAGGAAUUCAGCCGGAUUUGUUGACAGCGGUGAGUUUGGCUUCAAUUGUUGCUCAAUUAAGUGAUCGUCAAAGUAGUAGGUCUGUUCAUGGAUUCAUUUUGAGGAGAGGUUGGCUUAUGGAAGAUGUUGUCAUUGGAAAUGCAAUUGUGGACAUGUAUGCAAAAUUGGGUGCAAUAGAUUCUGCACGUACGGUUUUUGAAGGACUUCCUGUCAAAGAUGCGAUUUCGUGGAAUUCUUUAAUCACAGGUUAUGCUCAAAAUGGUCUUGCAAGUGAGGCGAUUGAAGUGUACCGUAUGAUGGAAGAGCACAAAGAGAUAAUUCCUAACCAAGGGACAUGGGUAAGCAUUCUACCAGCAUAUUCCCAUGUAGGAGCCUUGCAACAAGGGAUGAGAAUCCAUGGACGGGUAAUUAAGAACUGUCUCUACUUGGAUGUUUUUGUAGGUACCUGCCUUGUUGACAUGUAUGGAAAAUGUGGCAGAUUAGAUGAUGUCUUGUCCUUAUUCUACCACAUUCCAAGGAUGAGUUCAGUUCCUUGGAAUGCUGUAAUUUCUUGUCUUGGUAUUCAUGGGCAUGGUGAAAAAGCUUUGAAGCUUUUUAAUGAAAUGCUGGUGGAGGGGGUGAAGCCAGAUCAUGUAACCUUUGUAUCUUUAUUGUCAGCUUGUAGCCAUUCAGGUUUGGUUGAUGAGGGUCAAUGGUGCUUUCGAAUGAUGCAAGAAGAAUAUGGGAUCAAGCCUAGUUUGAAGCACUAUGGGUGCAUGGUAGAUUUGCUUGGUCGAGCUGGACGUUUAGAAAUGGCAUAUAAUGUCAUAAAAAAUAUGCCUAUACAGCCCGAUGCUUCUGUCUGGGGUGCUCUUCUUGGUGCUUGUAGAAUUCAUGGAAAUUAUGAGUUGAGUACAUUUGCUUCAGAUCGCUUGUUUGAGGUUGAACCAGAGAAUGUUGGCUACUAUGUCUUGUUGUCAAAUAUUUAUGCCAAUGUUGGUAAAUGGGAGGAUUUGGAUAAAGUGAGAUCAUUGGCGAGAAAUAGGGGACUGAGGAAAACCCCUGGCUGGAGCUCAAUUGAAGUGAACAAUAAGGUUGAUGUCUUUUAUACUGGAAACCAAACCCAUCCAAAAUGUGAGGAAAUAUACAAUGAAUUGAAGGUUCUGACCACAAAAAUGAAGAGCCUCGGUUACAUUCCAGACUUUAGCUUUGUGUUGCAGGAUGUUGAAGAUGAUGAAAAGGAGCAUAUACUGACAAGUCAUAGUGAGAGAUUGGCAAUUGCUUUCGGGAUAAUUAGCACCCCUCCUAAAAGCACCAUUCGGAUUUUCAAGAACUUGCGGGUUUGUGGUGAUUGCCACAAUGCCACUAAAUUCAUAUCUAGGAUAACUGAGAGGGAGAUUGUUGUGAGGGAUUCGAACCGUUUCCAUCAUUUUAAGGAUGGAAUUUGCUCUUGCGGUGAUUAUUGGUGACAUGAACUGCAUAAUUGAUAGUUAGGAUUAAACUUGCCAGGCUUAAAGAGCUUUCGAGUUCAGAAUUGAUGAUACAGUUGGAGGGUGUUGUACCAAAGGGAAGUCUGAAGCACCGACGCGGCUGGGAGGGUGCCACACUGGAGUCCGAUGUGGCCCGACACGGGAUGCGUCCACCGACACCGCUGCCCCCCGCGUCGGUGCUGCAUUUUUUUUUUUUUUGGGAUUCGCGCCGACUUGGCUUCGAUUCGGGCCAAUUCAUGCCGAACCGGGCCGAUUCGGACAAAAUCGGGUCGUAUCAACCGAAUCGGAUUGUAUCGGCUGACGGCUGAAACUAACCGAAACGGUCGAAAUUAGCCUUGAAUCAUACCGGAACAGCUGAAAUUGGCUUUGAAUGAGGUGAUUAUGCUUCGCUUUUCUUGUAAGAAUUUGUCGGGGGAAAUAUCAAAGUGGGGCGAAGUAUAUAUUUUGUUUCCAAAUAAGCAUCUUCUGAGUAGCAAUCAAUCCAUAUUAUUUUAUGGGUAUCAAUCAGUCUAUCUUAUCUAAUGAGUACCAGUGAGUCCAACUUUUCUUACUAAGUAGAUCUCCUUGAAGGAGGAAUGCAAGUUUCCAUUAGAAUCAUUGAGGGGCAUGUUGAAGUGUAAACAAGAAAGCUAAAUUUUUUGCUUUCAUUUGUAACCCUGAUGUCAUUAUGCUAUGUUCUUGUUUUGUUUAUGAUAUAGGAGAUUGUCAAUUGCUUAAGUCUAUGGCAUUGCUUUAGGGGUAAAAAAGGUAGGUGAGGUUUACAAGGUUGG